AUUUUUAAUUAUUUAUUUAUUAUUUAUUUAUUUAUCAAAUAAUAUAUAUAAAUUUUACUGUAUUUAACAUUAUUUGAUUUUCAUUAUUUAACCAAUUUCAAAAUUUACUAUAAAAGUUACUAGUUUGCCGCAUCAUGGCAGACGUUUUCUCCCUUGAGAGUCUCUAAAUAAAUAAAUAAAAUAAAUAAUAAGUAAAUAAAUAAAGGAUCUUUAAAAGUGUGCUAAAUGGUUGUCAGAUAAACUCCCUGUGUUGAGAUAGACGUAUUCGACGACGGAGGGAGAGAGAAGGAAAGAGAAGAACCCGAG